ACAGCAGUCGCCACGGUAAUACGUAGGGUGCAAGCGUUAAUCGGAAUUACUGGGCGUAAAGCGUGCGCAGGCGGUCUGUCAAGUCAGAUGUGAAAUCCCCGGGCUUAACCUGGGAACUGCGUUUGAAACUGGCAGGCUAGAGUCUUGUAGAGGGGGGUAGAAUUCCAGGUGUAGCGGUGAAAUUCGUAGAGAUCUGGAGGAAUACCGGUGGCGAAGGCGCCCCCCUGGACAAAGACUGACGCUCAGGUGCGAAAGCGUGGGGAGCAAACAGGAUUAGAUACCCGCGUAGUCCCUGUCUCUUAUAC
rnacentral:rRNA from 1 species